UACGUAGGGUGCGAGCGUUAAUCGGAAUUACUGGGCGUAAAGCGUGCGUAGGCGGUUUUUCAAGCUUGAUGUGAAAGCCCCGGGCUUAACCUGGGAAUGGCAUUGAGGACUGGAAGGCUUGAGUGCGGCAGAGGGAGGUGGAAUUCCACGUGUAGCAGUGAAAUGCGUAGAGAUGUGGAGGAACACCGAUGGCGAAGGCAGCCUCCUGGGCCGACACUGACGCUGAUGCACGAAAGCGUGGGGAGCAAACAGG
rnacentral:rRNA from 1 species